UUUUCCAUUCAAAAUAAAAUUUCCUUUCAAAUAAAAAACAGGGCCAUUAAUGAGAAAAAAAUUUCUCUUCUUUAAAUAAAUUUUUUAUUUGAAUCAAAAAAAUUAGUGCUUUAAAAAACAGAAUUUUAUGAAUUGAUCCAGGGACAAUGAAAUAAUUCUUAAAUAAAAACUAACAAUUUCUCUGAAAAAAGAAUUUUUUUGACAUAAAAAAUUUCUAAUUCAAAAAAUCGGAGAAAUAUUUCCUAUAGGUCGCUAGCUUCUAGCCAUGGUGUGAGUUUUCAGAAAUGCAAAAUAAAAUUUUCCCAUAGUUCGAUAACUUCAAGCCAUGUUUAAAGUUUUCAAACUUUUCAAAAAAAUUUUUCCCAUACUUCGAUAGUUUCUAGCCAUGGUUUAAGUUUUUAAAAUAAAAAAAAAAAUUCCCAUACUUUGUUAGCUUUUAGCCAUGGUUCAAGUUGUCAAAAUUUUCAAAAAAAAUUUUCCCAUACUUCGAUAGUUUCUAGCCAUGGUUUAAGUUUUUAAAAUUAAAAAAAAAUUCCCAUACUUCGUUAGCUUUUAGCCAUGGUUCUAGUUGUCAAAAUUUUUCAAACAAAAUUUUCCCAUACUUCGAUAGUUUCUAGCCAUGGUUUAAGUUUUUAAAAUUAAAAAAAAAUUCCCAUACUUCGUUAGCUUUUAGCCAUGGUUCUAGUUGUCAAAAUUUUCAAAAAAAAAUUUCCUAUACUUCGAUAGUUUCUAGCCAUGGUUUAAGUUUUUCAAAUAAAAAAAAAUCCCCAUACUUCGUUAGCUUUUAGCCAUGGUUCAAGUUGUCAAAAUUUUCAAAAAUAUUUUCCCAUACUUCGAUAGUUUCUAGCCAUGGUUUAAUUUUUAAAAUUAAAAAAAAAUUCCCAUACUUCGUUAGCUUUUAGCCAUGGUUCUAGUUGUCAAAAUUUUCAAAAAAAAAUUUCCCAUACUUCGAUAGUUUCUAGCCAUGGUUGAAGUUUUUCAAAUAAAAAAAAAAUUCCCAUACUUCGUUAGCUUUUAGCUAUGGUUCAAGUUGUCAAAAUUUUCAAAAAUAUUUUCCCAUACUUCGAUAGUUUCUAGCCAUGGUUUAAGUUUUUAAAAUUAAAAAAAAAUUCCCAUACUUCGUUAGCUUUUAGCCAUGGUUCUAGUUGUCAAAAU